UGAAACUCAAGAUGGAAAAGACUUUUUCAUACAGAAGACAUGAAGUUGUUCGUGAUGCACCAAUGGUGGAGGCUUUCAUGGCAAGAUGGCCUGCUCUAUUUGAUUUCCAUGAGAUCAACGCUGAGUUUAAGAGAAUUGCCACCAUCCCCCCUCAAACAAAGUUCCUGGCUCAGCUGGAUCUCCACUUGGACAACCUGGUGAAGUUGGUCAACAGAAGAGGAGAGCUUGGACUAAUACUGAAAAGAAUUGUGGCACAAAUGGAUAAUUGUGAAGAUGAUGAUGCUGA